UGGUGGGCUCGUCCCGCCAGCUCUUCAGGUCAUCAGUGCUGCACAUUAAGCUCUGGGAAGGGAACAGGCUUUGUCCUCUCAAAAGUCUGCCGAGUUCUGACUCUCAGAUACAGCGUUCAUUGUUAACAGAUAGAAAUCGGGUGACUCAAACUAUGUGCCAUGUGCCAUGUGCCAUGUGUUAUUUCAAAUGCUGCUUCCAACCAACCUUAGAAGCUAAGUACUGUCAUCAUCCCUGUUUUACAGAGGCGCAAAGAAGUUCAGUACUUGUUCAAGUUCACACCAAGAUUCGAACCCAGGUAGUCUUACUUCAGAGCCUCCAUUCUUACCCGUGUCCAAUGCCAGCCUCAUGCUCAUUCAUUUGUACCGGGAAACUCAAGCUUUAUCCUCAGCCCUCCUCCGCUGGCAGUUUCCUACAGAUCGGAGGAAGUGAUGAGCUCAGACAGCAGAGUCGGCCCAAGAGGGAGGAUACUAUUUGGUGCCCAUUCAGUUGCUGUGUGUGUUACGGCUUAGUUGGGAAACUGAAGCUUGAAGCAGGUUGUCCUGACUACAAACACAGUGUGUUUCCAAGAUGCCACAAUGAUGGUUGCCUCUUGGCUCAGCACCAGCUCCCUCCAGGAGUGGAGAUGAGUUCCUGGGCACCACGUCACCCAACACAAUGCCACACGCUGUGCAUGCUCUACGAAUAGCUCUUGGUGCCAUGUCAUGAGCUACGGAGAGGCCCAGGUGGUGAGAAACUGAGGCUUCCAGCCACCAGCCACAUGAGUGAGCGUGGAUGCAGAUUCUCCAACCCCAUCAGCCUUUAGGUGACUGAAGCCCUGACCAACAUUUGCCUGCAGUCUCUUGAGAUACCCAGAGCUAGAAGCUGCCAGCCAAGCAACUCCUGGAUUCCUGACCCACAGAAACAGGAGUCAGUGCAAAUGACACGUGGCAAAAACCAGCAGAUCACACACUCAUCAGACAAUAAACCUGGAACAGUCUAAAUGCAGAGGAAAGGAAUGGUCUAAAUUCUCCUGCUAUGAGGUAGCAGAGGAGGGAAGAAGGAAGCUGCCUCUGCCUUCCUAGACCUCCAGGAAUGGAAAAUAUAAAGGGCUCAAUCCUAGCAGCAUUUGAAUCUGAACAGAUGAAGAGAAAACAGAAACGUACUUUUCCUGGGCUUCUGGCCAAGUGAUCUCCCUCUCAGCUUAGCCUGAGGCUACCGCCCCCGCUGGCAGGACCUGCGGUUUUGCAGACCUUGGGGUGACACUCGCGUGGGCUGCAGCGCCAUCUAGCAGAUGUGAUGGUGAAAUGGCACCAGAACCACUCGGAUACUCUGGAGUCCUUCGAAAGACAAGUACCCACACGGUGCUAAGUGCUGGGGUUGCCGUGUUGAACAAACAGGACUCUGCCCUUGAGAAGGCCACCGUCCAUCUGGGGAGACCAUGGCAUGUUUUUGAGCAGAGAUGUGUGCAAGUGUUUAGAGAACCGGGGGUAAAGAACCUAACCUUCUCGGGGGUUCAGGGAAUGCUACACAGAGGAAGCAAUAUUCAAACCAGCUCUCAAAAGAUGAGGGAUUAUUUGUCAAGUGAUAGAAGAUAAAAGAAACUUCCAGGCAAUGCGACCAGAGGGUCAAAGGCCCAGAGAUGUGAAAGAGUUUAGUGCAUUCAGGGAAGUUUGAAACAUUCAAAAGGCAAACCAAUGGCAACUUUACAGACCAGCUCAUUCCUUGUUUUAUGGAUGAAAUUACAGAGAUUCAGGCAAGGAGGGGACCUCAUACAGAUUCACACCCCAAGUUAGGAGAGUCCACACUGGAAACCGCAUCUUCAGACUACGGGAGAACAAGGCCUGCCACCAGCUCUCUGGACAAGGUCAUGGUCACCUGGCAGGGCCCUGUGGGAAGGCUGAGCACAUGGAAGUUAGACCUUGAUCUCAAGAAGACCUGCUUGCAAUCCACCUCCACCCACAGCUAGCAGUACACCUGGGAUUCGAGAGGAGCAGCAAGAGAGGCAAGAGAGUGGUCACCUAAGCAUCAGAUGGGCCAUGUGUGUCCCGGUGGCCAGUCACGACAAAUGUCAUAGCCAGGGUCCCUUAUCACGAACGAAUGGAUAUGCGCCUGUUUAGGACCUUAUCUUCAGCUGGACUGGACCCCCAGGAACAGGGUAAAUGGAGAGGCUACAGCCUGGAACCUUCACCUGUGUCUGCCUGUAUCCCAGUAUUCAAGCUGGCCAGACGGCGUAAGAAAAUCCUGUUUUACUGUCACUUCCCAGAUCUGCUUCUCACCAGGAGAGAUUCUUUUUUUAAGCGCCUAUACAGGGCUCCAAUUGACUGGGUAGAGGAAUACACCACAGGCAUGGCAGACUGCAUCUUGGUCAACAGCCGGUUCACAGCUGCCAUUUUUAAGGAAACAUUCAAGUCCCUGUCUCACAUAGACCCCGAUGUCCUCUACCCAUCUCUGAAUAUCACCCGCUUUGAUUCAGCUAUUCCUGAAAAGCUUGAUGAUCUAGUCCCUAAGGGGAAGAAAUUCUUGUUUCUCUCCAUCAACAGAUAUGAAAGGAAGAAAAAUCUGACUUUGGCACUGGAAGCCCUAGUAAAGCUACGUGGAAGGUUGACAUCCCAGGACUGGGACAAAGUUCAUUUGAUCAUGGCAGGUGGUUAUGAUGAGAGAGUCCUGGAGAACGUACAACACUAUGAGGAGUUGAAGAAGAUGGUCCAGCUUUCUGACCUAGGCCAGUAUGUGACCUUCCUGCGGUCUUGUUCAGACGAACAGAAAAUCUCACUCCUCCGUGGCUGCACAUGUGUGCUUUACACACCAAGUAACGAGCACUUUGGCAUUGUCCCAUUGGAGGCCAUGUACUUGCAGUGCCCGGUCAUUGCUGUUAAUUCAGGUGGGCCCUUGGAGUCCGUCGUCCACAACGUCACAGGGUUUCUCUGUGAGCCUGACCCAGUGCACUUCUCAGAAGCAAUGGAAAAUUUCAUCCAUGAACCUUCCUUAAAAGCCACAAUGGGACUGGCUGGAAGAGCCAGGGUGAAAGAGAAGUUUUCUCCUGAAGCAUUUACUGAACAGCUCUACCAGUAUGUCACCAAACUGCUGGAAAUAUGACUGACCGUCACCCAUAGCAACUGAGAGCCUCCAUCUUACUUUUUGCAUCACCAAAGAGGAACCAGCCUUCUUUCUCAGAGUUUGAAAAGACAUCACUGAAGGACUGUGAUGGACCCUUCUUGGUUAAGGUGCCUUCCCUUAAAUUAAUGAAGCAAAUCGGGAGGCAAGGUACUAUGGCUUGCCAGGCUCAGAUUGGCUCCCAUUAACUGUGGGCAGGAUCAGGAUCACACAGCUGUAGGAAUCGUAUAGCUGGGAGAAGAGAGUCCAGGGUGUACAGAGGAAGGAAGAGGAAGCAGUUCCCAAAGAAGAUGAGAAAACUGAGGCACAAAUUGCUUAAGAAAAUAGCUCAAAAAUGGCCAAUUCAAACCCAAGCAGUCAGUUCUACAUCACUCACAGUCCCAACAGUUGGCAGGUAAGGACACAAUUAAGGCAACCUCUAUACCUGUCCCAAGUCUGAAAAACACAACAAAGCAUCUAAUGGCACCAGAAAGGAAAAGGAACUUUCCACCAAGCAGUCUCUGUAACAGAAUUUACAGUCUGCUGCCGAAUUACUGCAAAGGCACCUUGGGGGUAAUCUGAUUAUCUUCAGCGCAAGUGCUCAAACUCUGCCAUUGGCCAAUGUCCAGGAACCCAUCAUUGAAUACUCAUCACCUCAUCAAUUCAGCCUCCUCAACUGACGGGCAAAACAACAUCCAAAUAUUCAUUGCACAUCUGUGCCGGGCAGAUUAUACAUUAGCAAUUCAAAUCUGUCCGGUAUACCGGCCGUUCCUGCAAAUGCGUCUGUUUGGGUGAGAUGCCUUGUUAUCUGGGAUGGAUAAUAAGGCAACUCAGUCUAAUCUUGAAGAACAAUCAACCCAUCUUGUGAAGGUGACUGGCUGUGUGUGUUCUUGCCCUGGCAGCAUUGGAACAAUGGCCCCAUAAUGCACUCGACUCAGCUGGCAAUGAAGUCCCAUCCUGAUUAGUAGCCGUGGCUGGUGUCAAUCACCACAGGAUGCACCAUUGUCCUCUGGUCCCCAACACAGUUUAUUUACAGGAAACAAAGGCUUUGGGGCGCUAUGGCUGCUUCCCAGAGAUUGCAAAAUAGAUUGAGCUGUCAAGCACACAAAAUAGAUGAAGAUUAAUGAGUUAUGCGGACAAUAAAUAUGAAGAGAUGACCAUGAAUAUGCUAAUGGGCAUUAUCCAUAUACACCAUAAUUGCUACCAAAAUUAAAAGGUGGCGUGAAGAAGAUGGGUCACGAGGUGUCAGGGAGAUAAUCUUAGAAGCUUGAGACGCUCACCCCGGAUAAGACCCGCUACACGUUUCCUUUCCCCGAUUAAACCAUCCCGAAGCACAUUGUUCACAAGCUGUCCAAAUAGGCUCCUUUUAAACAGGGAUGUAAGGAGUCGGGUGAGGGGGGAAGCUGGAAAAGUUACCUUAGAGAAAGGUGUAAUUAGAAUAAGAAGGGUGUUUAUCAAAGGCAAAAAGUGAUCAGCUGUCAGGCUCCCUCCUCAUCCCCAGGGACAGAAGUGAUGAGGCUGUCAUUUCCAACUUCAGGCCCCCACCACUACCCUAGAGCCACAGGGACUAUUAUAACUAUGAGAAUGUUAUUUAGAUCACCUUUUAAGGAGGAGUGGGUGGUUUUUUGGAGUAUUACUCUGAUGACUUUUUAAAAAUAGACAUAAUAGAGAAAUUUGAAGAACGUAUUUCAAGGCAAGUGAAAUUUUGUUUCCGUGAAUGAUUUGACUUUGGAAAAUCUAUAUCUUGUAGAACUGUGGCAUGGCUGUGGCAUGACUGAUUCCCACCCAGCCUCGUAGCCUGUCCUCACAGCCUUCCAUGUGGCAGGAUGGUGUCCUCCAACCCCGUUCACACCCUGUCUUCCUUUCCACCCUCCUGCCUGCGGAUGACGGUCAUAUUAACACAAUAGCAUAUUGAAGUAAUGUGAUGAGAGGAUAUACGAACAUUUGAGAAAGUUUUUCUUAUACCCUAGUUUCUCUCCUCUGGAGGACCUAGGACAAUGAACCUUAUCCCCCAGAGAUCUUUAGAGCAUCACCCCCUGAUUGUAAGAACACAUCUUUGCACCUUCAGGCUAGAGACAAAACUUGUAUUCCUUGGCCUACACCAGGUGAAGGGGAGCAGGAUGAAACCAGGGUCCAGGAAGAGGGCAGAAGAGUAGAAGAGAGGAAGGGAAGUCAAGAGAAAGAAGGGGUCCCAGAGACCAUCUGAGGUUGACUCUACAUGGACUGAAACCUGCCUACCAGGGGAAAAAGGGAAUUUUGUACAAAUGUAUGAAAAAAGCUCACUGAAAGGGAUGGGAGAAAAAGGUGCACCCUAAGCAACUCUGGAAAUCAACGAAGUCUGCAAAACUAACAGUAUACAAGCACUUUGGUUGACAAACUUGUUCCCACAAGUAUGCAGGUUAACAGCUCUGAAACCGCUGGAACUGAACCAUCGAGUACAUAUGGAUGGCAGCUGGGGGAGCCGGGGUCUCCUUGUUUUAGUGGGAGUUUACAGUAAGCAAGGGGUGAUGGCUUAGAAUGAUCAAUGUGAUCAUGUGUUUGGAGAUGUCAGUGUGAAUUCAUGUAUAACUUAAUAUGGACACAGAUGACUACAUCAAGAAGUACUUAUUGGUAUGAGCAUAUAUACACAUGUAUUUCCUUGCCUUCUCAACUGAGACUGCCUUCAAAAUGGCAGCAGUGCCUCAGUAGCAGCAAACACACCUACCACCCAAAUCUUGGUUUCUAAUGCACUCUCCAGUAAAAGGAACCAGGAUCCACGAAGAAAUGGCUGGUGCUAGGAUGGUGCAGGAGAUACACAAGUUGAGCCAAGAGCUUGUAAUGCCAAAAAGUCAGAAAGUGCUAAAAAAAUUUUAAACCCCACAUUGACGUGAGGGGUGCAGUUGAGGGUAUGUCAGUGGGACACAGGAGCAACAAAAUAAAGUAGUAUGGAUGAUUAACCAAAAUGUAAAAUAAACAGCCAUGAGUCCAUACUGAUAUAAAUGACUGAAUAAAUAAAUGAAGCGGCGGAGUGUUAACUCACUGCUUGUUAAUCUCGGAGCCUCACAUAGUUACCUCCUGCCAAAGGGCACAGUAUGAAAAGGGAGAAAAAAAGUGACUUGACAGUGACAAAAUCCGAGAAACGCUGCCGCAGUCAGCUGACCAAGGUCAGCAUCAACAGUGUAAGUCAUCCUGACCAGAGGCUCCCUUGAUAGGAUGUAUGAGAAGCAUUUUGCUUCUAUGGCCUUCCUCCCCUAAACCCAUAACCCCAAUCUAAUCAUCAGAAAAGUAUAUCAGAAAAAUCCCAGUGGGAAGACAUUCUGCAAAACACCUGAUCAGUACUCCUCAAACUGACCGUCAACAACAGGGACACUCUAAAGUUACACGUCAGUUAUAUAUCCAAUUUUUAAAAAUACAAAUUAAAAAAAGCAAGGAAAGUCUGAGAAACUGUCACAGCCAAGAGAAACCUAAGGAGACACGACAAUGUAUAUGUAAUGUAUCCUGGAUGGGAUCCUGGAACAGAAAAAGGACUCUGGUUUAAGUGGGUAAAAACUAAGGAAAUCUGAAUAAUGUUUGGACUUUAGUUACUAGUAAUGUGUCAGUAAUGGUUCAUUAACUGUGACAACUGUACCAUGAUAAUACAACAUAUUAAUACUGGAGGAAACUGGGUAUGAAAUAUAGGAGAAUUCUCUGUGCUAUCUUUGCAGUUUUUUUCUGUAUGUCUAAAAUAAGAAGUUUAUUUAGGAAAAAAAAAAGGAAGUUUGCAGCAUCUUUUGUGCUUAGUAGGAAGCUAGCAGCAAGACUACUCCUUCCGGAUGACAUAGAGGCAUCAGCCAGACUUCUUAGCAAGUGUCAGAAAUUUACUCUAGUUUACACAGAUAAGGAAUUUGCUCUAAGGCACUGGGGAGUAUGUGAGAGGGUCCAGAUCCCGCCUUGGGGGCCAUGUAGCUGGGAUGAUGUUGGCAACUGUCCUGCAGAACUGGCCCUGCAGAGACUCCACUGCCGCCACUGUGAACCCACAGUCCACAGUUUACGUGGUCAGCCUUCUGAUGUUAGAUUCAGAUGCAGCCACCAGAUCAGCCACCUCAGGAAACUGCUUAGCUGCUUGCUUUUGCUGCCCGAAUGGCUUCUGUAAGGUCCCCUCUUCUUUGCUUUGCCAGCUUGCAGUUCAAAGCACAGGUGAUGAGUCAGACCAGCCAAGCCAGGUUCAAGGUCCUGCUUGGUACAAAGAAGACAGGGUAGUGAAUAUCGUAUUUUCAGCUUCUACAGUGGGAGGAUUCAAGGAGAGGACUUCAGGAAGAAACUGAAGACUGACUGGGCUUUUCUCCAAGUUGUGAUAAAUUGGCACUUCCUUUCACUGCAUCUGCAGAUAUAGCCAAAUGGAGAGCUGAGGAAACUCAGUUCAGGGGAGGAAAAUGGUCAGCAUUGAAGAAAAUCAGUAUCUAGGAUGUUGGAUGCUCUAUAUGGCUGUCUACACUGUGCUGAGCCCAAUAUAGAUGAGACCAAAACUUUUUUUAGUAAAAACACUGAACAGGUGUUAUGGACUGGAUUGAGUUCCCCCAAAAUCCAUGUGCUGAAGCCCUAAGCCCCACUGUGACUGUAUUUGGAGGUAGGGCCUUUAAGGAGGUAAUUAAGGAUAAAUGAGGCCCUAACAGUGGGGGCCUAAUCCAUAGG